UAACUGAAGGCUACCAGAGUUCUCCGACAGACUUAGAUGGGACAACAUGAAACUUCACCAAUAAAUGUUGCUAUAUUUUACACACUGUGCCUUUAAAGCCGUUUAUAAAGAAAAACACACAAACAAUUGACAUGUCAUUGUUGCUCUUUAAUUGCUGUUCUUUUUCAUUGCAGUUAUGGGGCUGCUGGUAUGAUGUAAUGCUAUGUACGUAGCCGGCUGCUAUUACUAUUCAGCUCACACAACCUACGGUGGAAACGCAAGCCAGGUCAGAGAGAAAAUUCCAGUCCAAACACUGGUAUAACCUGAUGUAAAUGCAGCUAAAGUGAUGGCCCGGGUUAUGGUGUGAAAGUGACAAUCCGGGUCGUUGAUGUGACAGUGAUGACCCGCAGGACCGGGUUCAACUCAGACAAAUGAGACGAGGAGGCAGGGACGCGUCCCAAUACUCUCAACAGCGGCCUCGGUGUCGGUGAGCAGGCGGAUCAGGAGAGAACUGAACCUGGCGUCAGUCACAAGCACGCGGCAGUUAUGCUACCCAAGACACCGCCCCAAGCCGGGGGGUCACAGACCGGCUACUGCAGCAGGAGGAUAACGGGAAUAGGAUGCUGGUGCUUCUAAAUGGGACAUUGCCGAGGACGCGCUCCGUCAGCUGACUGUCUGCUCUGCAGCCGACAUCUUACCCAAGAGAGAGACGGAGACGAAGGAGUCCGGGGCUCACGGUCAAAUGUCGGGGUGGAGCGAUGGUGCGGCCCGUGUGGGUCUACUGAAGCCAAGACGCUGGGCUCCUCUACGGGGACACGAAGGACAGACGUGGUGGACAGGCAGCUGUCUGUCUGUCCGUCUGUCAGCACUGCAGUAGCGGACUGCCGUCGCGGUAACGUUAGCAGGUGAUGCUAAUGUGAUGACUUUCAGGCAGAUUUAAACCUUGUGAUUCUUCAAUCAUGACAUCAUCACUGACUGGCCAGCACCUGUCAGCUGUUUGGGAGCAGUUAUUGCCUACAACCACAGGGGGGAGGUGUUGAUCUUCAGGGUCUGGAGGAAAGUGAGGCAGUGGGUCGACUCUUGGGUCGACAUCAUCACCUGGACCAUCUUUGAUCAUCGUUAAACAUCUGUCUGGCAGCUGUCCCCAACCAGAGUGUCCAUGAGAUGACAGCGAGGAGAAUGUCCCAGAACAACUUGGUGUGGCCAUCUGGACAUCAGUGUCAUGAUGUCAUCGAACUAGGAGACAUGUUGCUGACGCUGGAGCUGAGAGGAAUGAGGAUGACCUAUGAC